CUAUUUCUCCCCUAGGUGGCAGCAGUGACGCGCAGAUUUGCAGUACCGCAGGCGUCUCAGGUAGAUGUCACUGAAGCAGCGCAUCAGCAUAGAGCUGGGUGGAUGGCCAAAUUUCUGAAGCCUUCACGUCGUUAGUGUCACUAUUCAGUAGCUGUUGCUGCCUCCUGGACCGUCUGGACGCUUGGGACGCUGCGGAACCGCGACUGAGGCAGUCCUCUCGCUGUGACUAGGAUUUGGUGUCCUCAGUGCUGUGUCAAGUCGCGCUGUGGCUGUCUUCCUGAGUGUCAAGCUAUCCAAGUUCGUGGCCUUGAAAAUGCAUCGAAUUGCAGCGCACCUACUUUUGCAGCCCGUGGAAGUCACUGAGGUGCAUCCACCAAGUGGAUUGGAGACAGCGUGAACCUCCUCAGCCCAGCUGACAGCCAGGUCACACCUGUGAGGAUCAGGAUGCGCCAGUCUGCCUCCUACCCCAGCCUGCCCUCCAGUCCAGCACUGGGAGUUGCCUGGCGCAGUCUGUUCUUGGAAACCCCAGCGCCUGGGAGCCCCGCAGGGGUGGCGGAUCAGCUCCAGCUGCACCCACGUGUGCACCACGCCCGCCAGCUCAGCGGCAGCCAGUUUUCGGGAGUGGACGAGGGAUAUGAAAAUUCACACGAAAUCAAGAUAUCAGUGCACUGACCUGCGGGAAGCUCAGAUUAGAGUCCUCAGCAUUCUUGUCGCAGUCCUUCUUCCCCCUUUUACUAUGCUGUAGCUCCUUUUGCCAUCUUAGCUGUUUAUUAUACUUCCAAAUGACUCCCACCAGCAGCCUCCCAGGAACCCAUUCUGGAAGCAAAUCCUCCAGGCCCAGUCGGCCCACCCAUUACCAUUGCAUGAAGUACACACGAGCCCUCCCCACUGACCUGCAAAAUACAUAUG
rnacentral:lncRNA from 1 species